GGUCAAGCGAACAAGUGCAUGUGGUGGAUGCCUUGGCGAUCACAGGCGAUGAAGGACGCGGUAGCCUGCGAAAAGCGGAGGGGAGCUGGCAAACGAGCUUUGAUCCUCCGAUAUCCGAAUGGGGAAACCCACCUCUUUUGAGGUAUCCGUAACUGAAUACAUAGGUUACGUGAAGCGAACGCGGUGAACUGAAACAUCUAAGUAACCGCAGGAAAAGAAAUCAACCGAGAUUCCCAGAGUAGUGGCGAGCGAAAUGGGACCAGCCUGUACUCUUUAUCUUCAUUGUUAGUCGAAGGCUCUGGAAAGUGCCGCCAUAGCAGGUGAUAGCCCUGUAGACGAAAACAGCGAGGAAGAACUAGGUGUACGGAAAGUAGGGCGGGACACGUGAAAUCCUGUCUGAAGAUGGGGGGACCAUCCUCCAAGGCUAAAUACUCGUGAUCGACCGAUAGUGAACCAGUACCGUGAGGGAAAGGCGAAAAGAACCCCGGGAGGGGAGUGAAACAGAUCCUGAAACCGCAUGCAUACAAACAGUCGGAGCCUCUGCGAAGGGGUGACGGCGUACCUUUUGUAUAAUGGGUCAGCGACUUACAUUCAGUGGCAAGCUUAACCGAUUAGGGCAGGCGUAGCGAAAGCGAGUCCGAACAGGGCGAUUCAGUCGCUGGGUGUAGACCCGAAACCAGGUGAUCUAUCCAUGGCCAGGAUGAAGGUGCGGUAACACGUACUGGAGGUCCGAACCCACUAACGUUGAAAAGUUAGGGGAUGAGCUGUGGAUAGGGGUGAAAGGCUAAACAAACCUGGAAAUAGCUGGUUCUCUCCGAAAACUAUUUAGGUAGUGCCUCGUGUAUCACCUUCGGGGGUAGAGCACUGUCAUGGUUGUGGGGUCCAUUGCGGAUUACUACGCCAUAGCAAACUCCGAAUACCGAAGAGUGCAAUCACGGGAGACAGACAUCGGGUGCUAACGUCCGGUGUCAAGAGGGAAACAACCCAGACCGCCAGCUAAGGUCCCCAAAUAUUGCUAAGUGGGAAACGAAGUGGGAAGGCUAAAACAGUCAGGAGGUUGGCUUAGAAGCAGCCAUCCUUUAAAGAAAGCGUAAUAGCUCACUGAUCGAGUCGUCCUGCGCGGAAGAUGUAACGGGGCUAAGCAAUAUACCGAAGCUGCGGAUGCACAUUUAUGUGCAUGGUAGGAGAGCGUUCCGUAAGCCUGCGAAGGUGCAUUGAAAAGUGUGCUGGAGGUAUCGGAAGUGCGAAUGCUGACAUGAGUAGCGAUAAAGGGGGUGAAAGGCCCCCUCGCCGUAAGCCCAAGGUUUCCUACGCAACGUUCAUCGGCGUAGGGUGAGUCGGCCCCUAAGGCGAGGCAGAAAUGCGUAGCUGAUGGGAAGCAGGUUAAUAUUCCUGCACCAUUGUUAAAUGCGAUGGGGGGACGGAUCGCGGAAGGUUGUCCGGGUGUUGGAAGUCCCGGUCCUUGCAUUGGAGAAGGCGCUCAGGCAAAUCCGGGCGCGGAAUUCAAGGGUGCGAGGCCAGUCGCUUAGGCGACGAAGCAAUCGGAAGUGGUUCCAAGAAAAGCCUCUAAGCUUCAGUUUAACAGGACCGUACCGCAAACCGACACAGGUGGGCGAGAUGAGUAUUCUAAGGCGCUUGAGAGAACUCGGGAGAAGGAACUCGGCAAAUUGGUACCGUAACUUCGGGAUAAGGUACGCCCCUGUAGCUUGAUGCCCCUGCGGGCAGAGGGUGAAGGGGUUGCAAUAAACUGGUGGCUGCGACUGUUUAAUAAAAACACAGCACUCUGCAAACACGAAAGUGGACGUAUAGGGUGUGACGCCUGCCCGGUGCCGGAAGAUUAAAUGAUGGGGUGCAAGCUCUUGAUUGAAGUCCCGGUAAACGGCGGCCGUAACUAUAACGGUCCUAAGGUAGCGAAAUUCCUUGUCGGGUAAGUUCCGACCUGCACGAAUGGCGUAACGAUGGCCACACUGUCUCCUCCCGAGACUCAGCGAAGUUGAAGUGUUUGUGAUGAUGCAAUCUCCCCGCGGCUAGACGGAAAGACCCCAUGAACCUUUACUGUAGCUUUGCAUUGGACUUUGAACCGAUCUGUGUAGGAUAGGUGGGAGGCUAUGAAGCGUGGACGCCAGUCUGCGUGGAGCCGUCCUUGAAAUACCACCCUGGUUUGUUUGAGGUUCUAACCUUGGCCCGUGAUCCGGGUCGGGGACAGUGCAUGGUAGGCAGUUUGACUGGGGCGGUCUCCUCCCAAAGUGUAACGGAGGAGUACGAAGGUACGCUAGGUACGGUCGGAAAUCGUGCUGAUAGUGCAAUGGCAUAAGCGUGCUUAACUGCGAGACCGACAAGUCGAGCAGGUGCGAAAGCAGGUCAUAGUGAUCCGGUGGUUCUGUAUGGAAGGGCCAUCGCUCAACGGAUAAAAGGUACUCUGGGGAUAACAGGCUGAUACCGCCCAAGAGUUCAUAUCGACGGCGGUGUUUGGCACCUCGAUGUCGGCUCAUCUCAUCCUGGGGCUGUAGCCGGUCCCAAGGGUAUGGCUGUUCGCCAUUUAAAGAGGUACGUGAGCUGGGUUUAAAACGUCGUGAGACAGUUUGGUCCCUAUCUGCCGUGGGCGCUGGAUAUUUGAAGGGGGCUGCUCCUAGUACGAGAGGACCGGAGUGGACGAACCUCUGGUGUACCGGUUGUCACGCCAGUGGCAUCGCCGGGUAGCUAUGUUCGGAAGAGAUAACCGCUGAAAGCAUCUAAGCGGGAAACUCGCCUUAAGAUGAGAUAUCCCCGGGGCUUCGAGCCCCUUGAAGGGUCGUUCAAGACCAGGACGUUGAUAGGUCAGGUGUGGAAGCGCAGUAAUGCGUUAAGCUAACUGAUACUAAUUGCCCGUAAGGCUUGAUCCU
rnacentral:rRNA from 1 species